rnacentral:rRNA from 1 species
GACGAACGCUGGCGGCGUGCUUAACACAUGCAAGUCGAGCGGUAAGGCCCUUUCGGGGGUACACGAGCGGCGAACGGGUGAGUAACACGUGGGUGACCUGCCCUCAGCUCUGGGAUAAGCCUGGGAAACCGGGUCUAAUACCGGAUAUGACUCCAUGACGCAUGUUGUGGGGUGGAAAGCCUUGUGCGGCUGAGGAUGGGCCCGCGGCCUAUCAGCUUGUUGGUGGGGUGAGGCCUACCAAGGCGACGACGGGUAGCCGGCCUGAGAGGGCGACCGGCCACACUGGGACUGAGACACGGCCCAGACUCCUACGGGAGCCAGCAGUGGGGAAUCUUGCGCAAUGGGCGAAAGCCUGACGCAGCGACGCCGCGUGAGGGAUGACGGCCUGGUU